UACGUAGGGUGCGAGCGUUGUCCGGAAUUAUUGGGCGUAAAGGGCUCGUAGGCGGUUUGUCGCGUCGGGAGUGAAAACACACAGCUUAACUGUGUGCUGGCUUCCGAUACGGGCAGACUAGAGGUAUGCAGGGGAGAACGAAUUCCUGGUGUAGCGGUGGAAUGCGCAGAUAUCAGGAGGAACACCGGUGGCGAAGGCGGUUCUCUGGGCAUUACCUGACGCUGAGGAGCGAAAGUGUGGGGAGCGAACAGG
rnacentral:rRNA from 1 species